rnacentral:lncRNA from 1 species
GGCAUUUGAAGUAUUUUGACAUAAGGGUUUUCUUUCUUUCCUCAGGUAACACCCAGUGUGAUUUCUGUCAAAAGUGUUGUGAAUAUAUACACAGAAGAUUUGCUUCAAGAUGUUUUGACCAUACCUGUGACUUGCAGUAUUACUGAGGAAAACAGCAACAAACUGUUGCAUUUCUGCCCAUGUCCUGAUGUAUUUGGAGCGUAUGUUACUUGGAGGUCUCUGCCUCCUCAACCAUCUACCUCUUUAGCUCAUGAAAAUGUUAGUCAAAUGGCAUAACUACCAUGAGCUGGACCUUGGACCAGGUUUCUGGGUUACUCCUUUGCCUUUGAGUUCCAUUCUCUGACCUCUGCCAUGCUAAAGGGAAAGGGGACCAGCUGUUUACUGGGCACUUCUGUUCACCAGGAUGCUGGCUCAGGGCUAGUGUGGUACUUUCAGUCAUGGGACAAUGGCACCUCUUGUCAAGAGGCUUUUUAGAAAGUUGUGAUAAUGCCUACCAAGACUCUGUGAAACUUUUGACUACUUGGUUUUUAAAUUAAUAUUCUUUUAAAUAAACAUCUAUGCUGCCUUUUAAUUUUUAUGCA